rnacentral:lncRNA from 1 species
CCAUGGGUGACCCCUACAGAUAUUUACAUUACCACUCUCGUUAGAGAGUACGCCGUCAUCCACUAGGAGCAGCCCUCUUACAUCUUUGCAUACCAAAUAGGGGAGAGGAAAACAAAUACCCCAAAGGGCAAGGGGAACAGAUACCCCUCAGAGAUAAAAAGUCUAAUGAGACACUUGUUGCAGUAUGUAUGUCAAUACAUAUAUAUUUUAGACCAAUCAUGCUUUAUUCCAUAUUUCUCUUUUUUUUCUUUUUGUACUCUUUAUUGUUACCGAUUACAUAUUAUAU